rnacentral:rRNA from 1 species
UACGUAGGGAGCAAGCGUUGUCCGGAAUCAUUGGGCGUAAAGCGCGCGUAGGUGGCCUCAUAAGUCCGCUGUGAAAGUCAAAGGCUCAACCUUUGAAAGCCGGUGGAUACUGUGAGGCUAGAGUACGGAAGAGGCGAGUGGAAUUCCUGGUGUAGCAGUGAAAUGCGUAGAUAUCAGGAGGAACACCGAUGGCGAAGGCAGGUCUCUGGGCUAACACUGACGCUCAUGCACGAAAGCGUGGGGAGCAAACAGG